AACACAACAAAAUACUUUGUAUUUCAACAACACUACAGGUUUUGUUUUUAAUCUUGUAUCAAAAGUAGCAUAAAACAGCGUUUAAUUUAAUUAUAACAACAUACAGUAAUCAUACAGUAAAGUUAAACACACCUCCAACAUCCAGUGAAUACAGAAUCAUCACAGUUACUGAGUCUGACAGUGGAUUGUACAGCUGCCGGGGCAGAAGGGACUAUUUGUUAACAUAUUGGAGUAAAAUUACUGGACUGACUGUAUCAUCGAAACCAAAGGCUGAACUGAGAGCUGAUAGGACAGCUGUUCCAGUAGGGGGCAGUGUGACCCUGACCUGCUCUGUGAGCCCAUCAUCAUCAUCAUCAUCAUCAUCAUCAUCUGGAUGGAAAUACUACUGGUACAGAGAUGGGAAAUCUUAUGAAGCUUUGACAAAUGGACAAAUCAGUGUCUCAGAGGGAGGACUCUACAGCUGCAGAGGAGGAAGAGGAGAACCAGUUUACUACACAGAGGACAGUGAGUCAGUCAGGAUUGACACAACUGUGUCAAACAGGCCUGUUGUGACUCUGUAUCCAAACUGGUCUGAGAUAUACAGAGGAGAGACGAUCACUGUCAGAUGUGAGAUCCAUGGAGGAGACA